UGACAAGAUGGACGAUUAUGUUGUUGAAUCUUGAUAUCAUCUCAUGCAAGUUGUCUUUGAAAUUGUCAAUUUCUUUUGAAGCACAAAGGUACCAACAACUUCAAUGAUUUUAGUUGA